GAUGAACGCUGGCGGCGUGCCUAAUACAUGCAAGUCGAGCGAAUGGAUUAAGAGCUUGCUCUUAUGAAGUUAGCGGCGGACGGGUGAGUAACACGUGGGUAACCUGCCCAUAAGACUAGGAUAACUCCGGGAAACCGGGGCUAAUACCGGAUAACAUUUUGAACCGCAUGGUUCGAAAUUGAAAGGCGGCUUCGGCUGUCACUUAUGGAUGGACCCGCGUCGCAUUAGCUAGUUGGAGGGGUAACGGCUCACCAAGGCAACGAUGCGUAGCCGACCUGAGAGGGUGAUCGGCCACACUGGGACUGAGACACGGCCCAGACUCCUACGGGAGGCAGCAGUAGGGAAUCUUCCGCAAUGGACGAAAGUCUGACGGAGCAACGCCGCGUGAGUGAUGAAGGCUUUCGGGUCGUAAAACUCUGUUGUUAGGGAAGAACAAGUGCUAGUUGAAUAAGCUGGCACCUUGACGGUACCUAACCAGAAAGCCACGGCUAACUACGUGCCAGCAGCCGCCGUAA
rnacentral:rRNA from 1 species